rnacentral:rRNA from 1 species
CAGCCGCCGCGGGAAUACAGAGGGUGCGAGCGUUAAUCGGAUUUACUGGGCGUAAAGCGUGCGUAGGCGGCUUUUUAAGUCGGAUGUGAAAUCCCUGAGCUUAACUUAGGAAUUGCAUUCGAUACUGGGAAGCUAGAGUAUGGGAGAGGAUGGUAGAAUUCCAGGUGUAGCGGUGAAAUGCGUAGAGAUCUGGAGGAAUACCGGUGGCGAAGGCGGCCCCCUGGACAAAGACUGACGCUCAGGUGCGAAAGCGUGGGGAGCAAACAGGAUUAGAUACCCCUGUAGUCCCUGUCUCUUAUAC